GGACGAACGCUGACGGUGUGCUUUAGACAUGCAAGUCGAACGAGAAAGCCCUUCGGGUUUAGGUAAAGUGGCGAACGGGUGAGUAACACGUGGGCAAUCUGCCCCUCGCAGGGGGACAACCGGAGGAAACUCCGGCUAAUACCCCGUAAGUUCAAAGGGAGGCAUCUCUCUUCGAAGAAAGGUAGCUUCGGGCCAUCCGGCGAGGGAUGAGCCCGCGGUGCAUUAGCUAGUUGGUGGGGUAACGGCCUACCAAGGCGACGAUGCAUAGCUGGUCUGAGAGGAUGAUCAGCCACACUGGGACUGAGACACGGCCCAGACUCCUACGGGAGGCA
rnacentral:rRNA from 1 species